UGAUUUGAUGUUAGGAGGGCAAAUCCGCCGAAUUUAAGCAUAUAAUUAAGCGGAAGAAAAGAAAAUAACUAUGAUUCCUUUAGUAACGGCGAGUGAACAAGGACCAGCUCAAACGGUUAAUCCUUCGUUUGGUGCAAACCUUUCGACGGAAUUGUCGUUGAAUUAUUCCAUGAAUGCCUUUAAUUUGAGCAAAGUGAGCAGGAAUGCUUCCCCAUAGAGGGUGAAAGGCCCAUAGUUCUUUUUAAUUUAUUCAUUGGAAUUUUUCAUGUCGAGUCGUGUUCUUUGAGAUUGGAGCACUAAUACGUGUGAUACAUUUCACAUAAAGCUAAAUAUAUGUAGGAGACCGAUAGCAAACAAGUACCGUGAGGGAAAGAUGAAAUAGUACUCAGGAAUGAGCAAUUAAAUAGUACCUGAAAUCGUUAAGAUGGAACGGAUUAAGAGAGAAAACAAGUAAAGAGGGGAAUUUUUAAUUUUUUUUGUUAUAAUUCUCUUCUUUAUUAAAAGAAACAUCAGUGAUUAAUUUAAUUUCAAUAAAGCAAUCCCCUGAAAUUCAAAAUUUCUUUUAAUUUUGUUU
rfam:Plasmodium falciparum NF54 unplaced genomic scaffold supercont1.86, whole genome shotgun sequence.